rnacentral:rRNA from 1 species
GCUACGGGUGGCAGCAGUGAGGAAUAUUGGUCAAUGGCCGUAAGGCUGAACCAGCCAAGUAGCGUGAGGGAUGACUGCCCUAUGGGUUGUAAACCUCUUUUAUGCGGGGAUAAAGGUGUCCACGUGUGGCUGUUUGCAGGUACCGCAUGAAUAAGGACCGGCUAAUUCCGUGCCAGCAGCCGCGGUAAUACGGAAGGUCCGGGCGUUAUCCGGAUUUAGUGGUUUUAAAGGGUGCGUAGGCGGACGUUUAAGUCAGUGGUAAAAGCCCGGGGCUCAACCCCGGCGAGCAGUUGAAACUGGCUGUCUUGAGAUGUCGAGAGGUAGGCGGAAUGCGCGGUGUAGCGGUGAAAUGCUGAGAUAUUGCGCAGAACGCCGAGUGCGAAGGCAGCAUACCGGCGGCGAUCUGACGCUGAGGCACGAAAGCGUGGGUAUCGAACAGGAUUAGAUACCCGGGUAGUC